AACCUCCGCAAUGUGAGAAAUCGCGACGGGGGGAUCCCAAGUGCCAUUCUUAACGGGAUGGCUUUUCAUUAGUGUAAAGAGCUUUUGGAAUAAGAGCUGGGCAAGACCGGUGCCAGCCGCCGCGGUAACACCGGCAGCUCUAGUGGUAACAAUUUUUAUUGGGCCUAAAGCGUCCGUAGCCGGUUUAAUAAGUCUCUGGUGAAAUCCUGUAGCUUAACUGUGGGAAUUGCUGGAGAUACUAUUAGACUUGAGAUCGGGAGAGGUUAGAGGUACUCCCAGGGUAGAGGUGAAAUUCUGUAAUCCUGGGAGGACCGCCUGUUGCGAAGGCGUCUAACUGGAACGAUUCUGACGGUGAGGGACGAAAGUUAGGGGCGCGAACCGGAUUAGAUACCCGGGUAGUCCUAACUGUAAACGAUGCGGACUUGGUGUUGGGGUGGCUUUGAGCUGCUCCAGUGCCGAAGGGAAGCUGUAAGUCCGCCGCCUGGGAAGUACGGUCGCAAGACUGAAACUUAAAGGAAGU
rnacentral:rRNA from 1 species